GAUCCGAGAAAUUUAACUUGUGUUCGACUCAUUAAUAAACGAGCCGAGUAUAAGCUAGUUCACCAACUGGCCAACGAACAAUAAAUUAAAUAGAUUAGAUUGAAUAUAUAUAAAAAAUAAAUUUAUAAAAUCUUACUCAUUAAACUUUGAUAUAAUGGUUAAAACUUUACAUAUAAAUGAGUUUUUUUAUAAUUGAGCUCAUCUUU
rnacentral:lncRNA from 1 species